rnacentral:rRNA from 1 species
UUCUUCGGAAGAUGAGUGGCGAACGGGUGAGUAAUACAUAGGUAACCUGCCCCUGUGCGGGGGAUAACAGGAGGAAACUCCUGCUAAUACCGCAUAGCCAUGAGCACCGCAUGGAGCUCAUGCCAAAUAUCCUUUCGGGGAUAGCGCAGGGAUGGACCUAUGGCGCAUUAGCUAGUUGGCGGGGCAACGGCCCACCAAGGCAACGAUGCGUAGCCGGCCUGAGAGGGCGGACGGCCACAUUGGGACUGAGACACGGCCCAAACUCC